UAGGGAAUAUUGCUUAAUGGGCGAAAGCCUGAAGCAGCAACGCCGCGUGUGCGAUGAAGGCCUUCGGGUUGUAAAGCACUUUUUGGAGGGAUGAGGAAGGACAGUACCUUCAGAAUAAGCCUCGGCUAACUACGUGCCAGCAGCCGCGGUAAAACGUAGGAGGCGAGCGUUAUCCGGAUUUACUGGGCGUAAAGCGCGUGUAGGCGGCUCGACAAGUUGGAUGUGAAAGCUCCUGGCUUAACUGGGAGAGGUCGUUCAAAACGUGUCGGGCUAGAGUAUGAGAGAGGGAGGUGGAAUUCCGGGUGUAGUGGUGAAAUGCGUAGAUAUCCGGAGGAACACCGAGUGGACGAAGCGGCCUCCGUGGCUCAAACCUGACGCUCAGACGCGAAAGCUAGGGUAGCA
rnacentral:rRNA from 1 species